CCAACCUGGUUGAUCCUGCCAGUAGUCAUAUGCUUGUCUCAAAGAUUAAGCCAUGCAUGUCUAAGUAUAAACAACCUUAUACUGUGAAACUGCGUACAGCUCAUUAUAUCAGUUAUAAUUUAUUUGAUGGUGAUUUACUACAUGGAUAACCGUGGUAAUUCUAGAGCUAAUACAUGCGUAAACUCCCGACUUAC
rnacentral:rRNA from 1 species